rnacentral:rRNA from 1 species
UACGUAGGGCGCAAGCGUUGUCCGGAAUUAUUGGGCGUAAAGAGCUCGUAGGCGGUUUGUCGCGUCUGCUGUGAAAACCUAAGGCUCAACCUUGGGCUUGCAGUGGGUACGGGCAGACUAGAGUGCGGUAGGGGUGACUGGAAUUCCUGGUGUAGCGGUGGAAUGCGCAGAUAUCAGGAGGAACACCGAUGGCGAAGGCAGGUCACUGGGCCGCAACUGACGCUGAGGAGCGAAAGCAUGGGGAGUGAACAGG